rnacentral:lncRNA from 1 species
UGGGAGUUUCUUAGAUUUAUAAAAAGAGAAUAUGGCUUUAAACAAACAUAAAGUAUAUUAACGUGUAAAUAAAUGAAUCAUACAUUAUUUAUUUUUGUUAUUUUUAUGGUUUAGCUUUUUCUUGCCUUUCCCUGAUUGGACUGUGUUAUUUGACAAAUGUUAUCAUGAACUUUGUGGCCAGAGAUGGAAAUCUUACAAUGUGAAAAACCCACUUAAAACAUAAAUAAUAAUAAUGAUAAUGAUAAUGAUAAAUAAUAAUAAAUUUUAUUUAUAGCACACUUUUACAGGUGCUCAGAGACAUUUUACAAAGGAAAAAAAAUCAAAUAAAACACAAUUUAAUGUACAGAAAAUUUUGAGACAUGAAACCAACAAUGUAAAAAGUUAAAAAAGACAAAAUAUAAAAAGACGAUAAAAGAACAGUUAACAAGUUAAAAGCCAAUUUUAAAAGGUAUCUAUGUAAAAUAUGGGGGUCUGUACAGUCUCGGAUGGGUUUGAGGAGUGAAUUCAAAAACUUUUAGAACUUUUAAAAAUAUUUUCAAAUUAAAUUAUCAAUAUUGGCACCAAAGGAUUAACUGUGUUACAGGGUUAGGGUUAGGGUUUGGAUCUUCGUUAUCACCGAUUUUGAGUGAUGAACUGCAUCCUUCUCUUUCUGAUUUGACCCCAUGACUAGAAAAAAAGUGAAGGAGAAGAAAAAGCAGAGUGAAUACGGUAGUAAAAUGAGGUAAAUAAAGAAGAACGAGGUCUGUCUGAGAAAGAGGAGGAGAUUCAUGACCCUUGAUGACCAGGAAAAACAAACACCGUUACGUCUUGAGCCGCAGAGUUUAAGAUUAAAUCUUCCUCCGCCCCGUGUUAACUGUGAUCCAUUCUCUUCUAUUUUCUUUGGCAGCGGUUUGUUGUGUUUCCUUGUCGCGCAGGUUAAACAGCAGACAAUCUGCGCUGCUGUUUGUCUAAAACCUCCCUGUGAACCCAGAGUUGACCUCAAACACUCCAUUACUCUCCUUCAGACUCGAGCGGAAGAUGUGCGAGAAACUCAGGAGGAAACAGGCAAAUAGGAGGAGGGAAUGAAUCAAACGGUUAAUAUCCUUCAGUCGGUCUUCUGUCUUUCCUCUGAGUGGACAGCCGCGAUGCUCCAAUUCAUCUUCCUUCCCCUCACAGCGGUGUGUUCAGGGAAGGUCAAAACCCAGAAAAUAGGCUACACGCGAGGCAUUUUGUCACCAGACACCCUUCACCUGCCUCCCAACGCCAAGGAGCCGCACACAACUGGGACACAGCCGCAGCCAAAAAUACAUCAGGUGGACCCGAGCGGCGACUCCUGCAUGCAUUCACACCACAUUCGUUCUGCAUUUGUUGUGCUAGUCCGAGGAAGCAAAAGAGCGGAACAAGGUGACAUUUUGAUGCUCUUCAAGUUUAGGAAGUUUAAUUGAUUUAUCCUGUUGGAAAACAUGCAUGACAGAGCUGAUUUCACAUCCUUGGAUUUUGAGGCGUUGAUGAAAGACGGUCUCCUUCACUGGCCACGAUUUAUUUUUGGCUAAUUGUUGUAAUUGUUUUGGUGGAAACAGAGUAAACUGUGUAGAGAGUUUGUAAUCAUCGACCCUUUGACCUUCCAUGUCUGGAGAUACUGGAUCACUGCUCCUAAAUUCCCCUGCGAUGUCCGCGAACGGAAGUUGAAAUGAAUUCUUGCCAUCGUGAAGUAACGUAUGAAAGACUCCGGUCGGCACGGUGACUCAGAAAGCCUGAGAAAAUGAUGACUCAGGACUUUCUAGAUCUACAUCCGAUUACGCAAGAGCAUCCGUGUGUCCCUUUGAAACCACUUGUCAGGGGUCAGGUCCUUCUGGAAGAUCCAGAAGGAGGGCAUUCCAGAUGAGAUUUGUAAUCUCUCCAGUGAGCUCCAGGUUUAGCCUCUUCCCAGCCGACCAUGUCCAUAAAACCUCCAAAGGAUGGCAUCUCAAUCAGAGGCCUGAACCACCUCAAGUGGGUUCUUUCAAUGCAAAGGAUUACCCUCAAUUUUCACCACAUCCAGAACUGCUCUGCUCUGUAACGGCAGCGAUUUUCGCCGUCAGCCAAUUCCCACUGGAUCUGUUGGUGAGGCGAAUUUCGUGGCGGAUUACGGACAGCUGUAAUGGCGAGAAACCACAAGAACCCGCAGAUUUACGCACAAUCGUGUGACGAGUUGUCUCUAUAAAGACAGCCACAUAGACAUAUAAGCAGUAGAUUGUGUCCUUCAAGAGGAGGAAAUCUAUUUCUAGACUUCUAGAAUCAGCAUCUCCUCAUCCAUGGUGUCAUUGGGGUGAAAUGACGUCUAAAAACCUUUCACUUGUUCGUCUCCGCCCGUUUGCAUGGUGUGAAAUACGAUCCGCCAGUAACAUGGAGUGUUUUACAGGCAAAACACACAGGAUCCAGCACAGCAGGUGGAUCAAAUAUGCAAGCAUUAAAAUCAAUGUGAGUGAUUCCACAGAAUCUGUCCAGCAUCAGGCUCCGGCGGCCAGAUCAGAUAAGCAAGGCCUCUAUUUUUGCCAGACGGCGCAUCAAUUCAGUGCAGUGCAGUACGAGCAGCAGCAGAAGUUGUAUGCGGUUACGGGGUAAAAUACCCGGUUAAUUUUCAAAAUAAAAUAGAGUCAAUACAUUGAACUGUUCUUAACUUGAUAAUAGGAGAGGCCAGGGUUGUGGGAUGUGGGUGUUUAUAUACACCACCGUUUAUAUACAGCGAUCGGCGGACCUCAUUCUAUGACUCACAGGGAAAGCACGCGAGAGCUCGUGAGAUCUCAUCCAGUGUCACAAGAACGGAAAGAAAAUGGUGGAAAUUGACACAUUAACUUGAAUGGUUACGAUCAGCUGCAAUCAGCAGAUAUGGCCUGUUCAUAGACGUUCCAGAUGCGGUGGAAAUUGGGGGUUAAAUACCAGAUACUUAGAGGAUACUCGUCUCGGUUGUUCUUUCUUUGGGUUGCGACUCAAAGCUCAUGACCAAAGUGAGGGUUGGAAGGUCGAUCAACUAGUCAAUCAAAAGCUUGGAAGGUCGAUCAACUAGUCAAUCAAAAGCUUGGACUUCAGGAUCACCUUCCCUUUCUUUACAAGGGUCUCGUACAUGAUCUUUGGCACAACUGUAGCAGCACCAAUACCAUUUAAUCCUUACUCUUGAACAAGACCACAACAUCGUUGAACUCGUCACUGUGAAGCUCCCUCAGAGUAGAUCUGAGGUCCAUGUUUUAGACGGAAGCAGUCGAGGGGGCGUCAGGUCAGAUAUCCAGAUGCACCCGAAGCCUCCAGCCCUGUGGGGACAAAACAGCAGCGACACUAAUGGUCGGCUGUAUGGCAUUUAGAGCAGAAAGGUGUGACAUGCAAGACUUCACACUCGCUGUCUGACUGUCUCGCACAGAUUUGCAUACACACUCACACACUCACACACACACAUUCCUCAGGGCUUGCCAUUAAUAACAGCUGACCUUUGCACGUUUAGGCUGUGAAAUGAUAGUAACGACGACCUGAGGAUGGCUUAUCACACUGUCCUUCAUGUCUCAUCGCUCCAUGCCUCCAUCUCCAUCUAUCCAUCCGUCCAUCAUUUCCUCCCCUGAGGAGAUGUUGGUGCUUGUUGCUAUUUCGGCGUCAUUGUUUGUGUUCAGUUUGGUCUGUGUCGUUAGUAAUCGCCUGUAACACCCCGACCACUGGCUUGUGUGAAUUUUUGAGGUAGGAGCACCCAAAUUUGGUUGUUUACUUUCACGAGUGUGCCAUGUCUGGACGAUGUCGGGACAAGGCUGAGGUUAAUUUUGGAUGAAGACGACUUUCACAGAGGUUUCCUAAACAUGCCGAUAUCUUUUUCUUAAUCUUAAUUUUCCAAAAGGAAUUCACACAAAUUCAACUAUCUUGAUGUUUUAGUUAGCCAAGUAGCCUUCCGUUAACCAGGAGCCAGGAAGCAAGUCCCCA